AUUUUAAUUAUAGCCAAAACUACCCAGAAAAUUAAUUUUGUAUAAAAUACAAUCAAUAUUGCAUGAAAUAUUGACAAUACAAGUCAAGUCAAGAAGUUGUAAUUUUAACCAUAUAUAGCUGACACAGAACAGUGAAAUUAGGCAACAUUUCUCUAGGAUCAUGGUGCUACAUAGAACAAAGACAGAGCUUUUGGAACUGUGUCACAUCAGACACAUCAGGAAAGGAGGAAAACGGAGAAGAUGUGACAAGGCCACCAGACACAUCAGGAAAGGAGGAAAACAGAGAAGAUGUGACAAGGCCACCAGACACAUCAGGAAAGGAGGAAAACAGAGAAGAUGUGACAAGGCCACCAGACACAUCAGGAAAGGAGGAAAACAGAGAAGAUGUGACUACAUAUCAGGAAAGGAUGUGAAGAGGACAGUAGAAACAGAAGAAACAAACAAUCAAUAAUCCUUCUUCAAGUUGUUGGUACUUCUUUGCUCUAAGAUUGCUGUGUAUCUUUACAGGAAAAACUGAAAAGCUUUUUGGAAACACCUUCAUCCCUUUCUUCUUCUGUUUAAUGAUGCAACAGGUAAAAACAAGCAAUUCCUGCAGUUAUUCCAGGUGUAGUUUCAUGCUGUGAUAGGCUCAAUAAGUAACGGUAGUUAAAAUAAAAUGAUUUAUGACCUACUUACCUUGACAGACACAUCUCAGUAUGUAGACUAUUGGAAUAACCAAAAUUGAAUGCAGCUAAUUUUGAUACAAAGAGUAAUCCACAGACAUGUAGUUUCAGACUGUUCUUGUUUUCAAAUUUUCAGUCGCUUCCUUCUGCAUGUGCUAUCACAAAAUCCUAGAUGUGAUGAAUUGUGAGAAAAAACUUGAUUUUAAAAAUAAAAACUAUAUACGAUAUACCCGGGAAUGUUCCGAGUGUGGAUAUGUUCAUGUACUACAACAGGAGAGUCAGCAUGAAAAUACACCUGAAAUAUCUGCAGGACUUUUGUUUGAAAGCAAUCCAGAGAUCUCACUGAAGUAAUAGCAGCAACAACAACAAAAAUAAUAAUGAUAAAUAAUAAUAAUGAUAAAAAAAAAAGUUAUCAUUAAUGAUAAAUAAAAAUAAUAAUGGUGAUUUGUGAAUCACACACACAAGCUGUUUUAGAGAUAAAAAAACUUCCCCCUUUUUUUUCUUUUUUUAAAAUGGUUCUAUAUGACCUGUUGUACAUACUGUAAUAUCAGUAUGUUGACAUUUCAGACAUAAUAAGGCAAAAUGUUGUGUUUAUAUUUUCUCUGUUCGAUGAAAGAUUUCAAAGCUCCACUCAGUAUUUAGCAUGUUGGCUAGCAGGCUAGCUAGCUCAUACCAAUUUUUUUCAUCUUAGCUUUCAUAUUUUAAGUAGUUAUAUUCCUGAAAAGUAUUAUUACCACAUUGAUUGAUAGUCACACAUGCACGUGAACUUUUAUUGCGUUUUUGGGGCCUUUCAUUUCAUUGGAACAUUUUACGGAAUGUUUGAUAUUGGCCUGUCUGUCUGUCUGUCUGUCUGUCUGUCUGUCUGUCUGUCUUAUAAGAACCUUUGGGAUGAACUAGAAUUUUGACUGUAACCCAGACUAAUAUCUAUUUUUGUUUGUAUUGAAUAUCAGUUAUAUAUACAAUUUUCACUUUAUUUUCGCUACAUCUAAAUCUUGUUUAGUCAGCUGUUUUUGUUUAUUAUUAUUAAUAGAUAUUAUUAUUAUUAUUAUGAAAAAUAUUAUAAUGAAUGUAAAAGGAUGUGAAUAUUUUUUUAUGAAUCAGCAGUAGAAAAUGAAUGAAUGAAUGAGUGUUUAUUGAUUUUAGCAUUUUCCUUCUUUAAAAUAUUUUGUAUUGAAUACAUUAAUAGUAUCUGUUCUAUUAUUGUUUUUUAAAAUCUAAGAUAGUGUCAUACUUUUAAUUCCUGCCAUCAUGCAAAGCUUGCUUUUAAUUUAUCAUUUACUUGAUAAUAAACUUGUCCUGAAAGCCCCAGUGGUUAAACAUA